CUAAUCUGCGAUAAGCGCCGGUAAGGUGAUAUGAACCGUUAUAACCGGCGAUUUCCGAAUGGGGAAACCCAGUGUGAUUCGUCACACUAUCAUUAACUGAAUCCAUAGGUUAAUGAGGCGAACCGGGGGAACUGAAACAUCUAAGUACCCCGAGGAAAAGAAAUCAACCGAGAUUCCCCCAGUAGCGGCGAGCGAACGGGGAGGAGCCCAGAGCCUGAAUCAGCAUGUGUGUUAGUGGAAGCGUCUGGAAAGGCGCGCGAUACAGGGUGACAGCCCCGUACACAAAAGCGCAUGUGCUGUGAGCUCGAUGAGUAGGGCGGGACACGUGGUAUCCUGUCUGAAUAUGGGGGGACCAUCCUCCAAGGCUAAAUACUCCUGACUGACCGAUAGUGAACCAGUACCGUGAGGGAAAGGCGAAAAGAACCCCGGCGAGGGGAGUGAAAAAGAACCUGAAACCGUGUACGUACAAGCAGUGGGAGCNNGUUAACCGUAUAGGGGAGCCGGAGGGAAACCGAGUCUUAAUUGGGCGUUAAGUUGCAGGGUAUAGACCCGAAACCCGGUGAUCUAGCCAUGGGCAGGUUGAAGGUUGGGUAACACUAACUGGAGGACCGAACCGACUAAUGUUGAAAAAUUAGCGGAUGACCUGUGGCUGGGGGUGAAAGGCCAAUCAAACCGGGAGAUAGCUGGUUCUCCCCGAAAGCUAUUUAGGUAGCGCCUCGUGAAUUCAUCUCCGGGGGUAGAGCACUGUUUCGGCUAGGGGGCCAUCCCGGCUUACCAACCCGAUGCAAACUGCGAAUACCGGAGAAUGUUAUCACGGGAGACACACGGCGGGUGCUAACGUCCGUCGUGAAGAGGGAAACAACCCAGACCGCCAGCUAAGGUCCCAAAGUCAUGGUUAAGUGGGAAACGAUGUGGGAAGGCCCAGACAGCCAGGAUGUUGGCUUAGAAGCAGCCAUCAUUUAAAGAAAGCGUAAUAGCUCACUGGUCGAGUCGGCCUGCGCGGAAGAUGUAACGGGGCUAAACCAUGCACCGAAGCUGCGGCAGCGANNNNNUGCUGGAGGUAUCAGAAGUGCGAAUGCUGACAUAAGUAACGAUAAAGCGGGUGAAAAGCCCGCUCGCCGGAAGACCAAGGGUUCCUGUCCAACGUUAAUCGGGGCAGGGUGAGUCGACCCCUAAGGCGAGGCCGAAAGGCGUAGUCGAUGGGAAACGGGUUAAUAUUCCCGUACUUGGUGUUACUGCGAAGGGGGGACGGAGAAGGCUAUGUUGGCCGGGCGACGGUUGUCCCGGUUUAAGCGUGUAGGUGUGUGUUCCAGGUAAAUCCGGUUCACUUUAACACUGAGGCGUGACGACGAGGCACUACGGUGCUGAAGCAACAAAUGCCCUGCUUCCAGGAAAAGCCUCUAAGCAUCAGGUAACAUCAAAUCGUACCCCAAACCGACACAGGUGGUCAGGUAGAGAAUACCAAGGCGCUUGAGAGAACUCGGGUGAAGGAACUAGGCAAAAUGGUGCCGUAACUUCGGGAGAAGGCACGCUGACACGUAGGUGAAGUGAUUUACUCAUGGAGCUGAAGUCAGUCGAAGAUACCAGCUGGCUGCAACUGUUUAUUAAAAACACAGCACUGUGCAAACACGAAAGUGGACGUAUACGGUGUGACGCCUGCCCGGUGCCGGAAGGUUAAUUGAUGGGGUCAGCGCAAGCGAAGCUCCUGAUCGAAGCCCCGGUAAACGGCGGCCGUAACUAUAACGGUCCUAAGGUAGCGAAAUUCCUUGUCGGGUAAGUUCCGACCUGCACGAAUGGCGUAAUGAUGGCCAGGCUGUCUCCACCCGAGACUCAGUGAAAUUGAACUCGCUGUGAAGAUGCAGUGUACCCGCGGCAAGACGGAAAGACCCCGUGAACCUUUACUAUAGCUUGACACUGAACAUUGAGCCUUGAUGUGUAGGAUAGGUGGGAGGCUUUGAAGUGUGGACGCCAGUCUGCAUGGAGCCGACCUUGAAAUACCACCCUUUAAUGUUUGAUGUUCUAACGUGGACCCGUAAUCCGGGUUGCGGACAGUGUCUGGUGGGUAGUUUGACUGGGGCGGUCUCCUCCUAAAGAGUAACGGAGGAGCACGAAGGUUGGCUAAUCCUGGUCGGACAUCAGGAGGUUAGUGCAAUGGCAUAAGCCAGCUUGACUGCGAGCGUGACGGCGCGAGCAGGUGCGAAAGCAGGUCAUAGUGAUCCGGUGGUUCUGAAUGGAAGGGCCAUCGCUCAACGGAUAAAAGGUACUCCGGGGAUAACAGGCUGAUACCGCCCAAGAGUUCAUAUCGACGGCGGUGUUUGGCACCUCGAUGUCGGCUCAUCACAUCCUGGGGCUGAAGUAGGUCCCAAGGGUAUGGCUGUUCGCCAUUUAAAGUGGUACGCGAGCUGGGUUUAGAACGUCGUGAGACAGUUCGGUCCCUAUCUGCCGUGGGCGCUGGAGAACUGAGGGGGGCUGCUCCUAGUACGAGAGGACCGGAGUGGACGCAUCACUGGUGUUCGGGUUGUCAUGCCAAUGGCACUGCCCGGUAGCUAAAUGCGGAAGAGAUAAGUGCUGAAAGCAUCUAAGCACGAAACUUGCCCCGAGAUGAGUUCUCCCUGAGACUUAGAGUCUCCUGAAGGAACGUUGAAGACGACGACGUUGAUAGGCCGGGUGUGUAAGCGCAGCGAUGCGUUGAGCUAACCGGUACUAAUGAACCGUGAGGCUUAACCUUACAACGCCGAAG
rnacentral:rRNA from 1 species